rnacentral:tRNA from 1 species
GUGACAAUAGCUUAAAAUAGAGCAAUGGUCUUGUAAAUCACAGGUGAACAGUUAUUCGUUCUUGUCACU